AAGACCUGAUUUCUGUUUUCUCUUUCCCUUUGCUGUUUUCCAGACAGAUGAGUUUCCUGGGCUGGCUCACGGCGAUGUUGCACGGUCAGGUUCUCUCAAGAGCCUCCUGCUCCGCAGUUGACUCACACGCUAGCAGGUGCUGCUGGCAGAGAUGGCACGUGCCGGAUUCUCCACCCCUGUCUCCAUACUGAGCCCCAGUGCUGCAUCCCCAACCCUGGGGAGGGAUUCUGCCCAGACCUGUCCUGCCACCAGUGGGGUCAGAGAAACAAUGCUGUGAAGUAGCUCACAGCACCCAAAGACCCAUCUAGAUAAGGCUCUCUCAGGAACUGACAGUGCAGAAACCAUGGAGUCCCUGGACAGAGUUGCAACUGCAAAGCCUGGAUUAAUUGACUCAGUGGCAUUUGGACAUGACCGUUUCAGCAGCUUCUACAGAAUAAAUUGAGCAGAAGUGUCAAAUUCAAGCUUCCACAUCUGAGAUUCUGAGAACAAAAGGAGACCAGAAAGUCCUCAGGAGUUAAGGAGCUGCUUUACAUAAGGAUAUCUCUCAAAGCCAGGAGAAAAAUGCAGGGUUAUUUUGUGAAUUUUUUAGAAGGAGGGACCUAGAAAAGGUAACAGCAACAUCCUCUCUGCGGAGGAGG